AUUGAACGCUGGCGGCAGGCUUAACACAUGCAAGUCGAGCGGGGUGAUGGUGCUUGCACUAUCACUUAGCGGCGGACGGGUGAGUAAUGCUUAGGAAUCUGCCUAUUAGUGGGGGACAACAUCUCGAAAGGGAUGCUAAUACCGCAUACGUCCUACGGGAGAAAGCAGGGGAUCACUUGUGACCUUGCGCUAAUAGAUGAGCCUAAGUCGGAUUAGCUAGUUGGUUGGGUAAAGGCCGACCAAGGCGACGAUCUGUAGCGGGUCUGAGAGGAUGAUCCGCCACACUGGGACUGAGACACGGCCCAGACUCCUACGGGAGGCAGCAGUGGGGAAUAUUGGACAAUGGGGGGAACCCUGAUCCAGCCAUGCCGCGUGUGUGAAGAAGGCCUUAUGGUUGUAAAGCACUUUAAGCGAGGAGGAGGCUCUUUUGGUUAAUACCCAGGAUGAGUGGACGUUACUCGCAGAAUAAGCACCGGCUAACUCUGUGCCAGCAGCCGCCGUAAAAC
rnacentral:rRNA from 1 species